CUUGAACGCUGGCGGCAGGCCUAACACAUGCAAGUCGAGCGGAGCGGCGGACGGGUGAGUAAUGCCUAGGAAUAUACCUGGUUGUGGGGGAUAACGUCAGGUAACGGGCGCUUAUAUCGCAUACUAUCAGAUGAGCCUUGGUCGGAUUAGCUAGUUGGUGGGGUAAUGGCCUACCAAGGCGACGAUCCGUAACUGGUCUGAGAGGGUGAUCAGUCACACUGGAACUGAGACACGGUCCAGACUCCUAGGGGAGGCAGCAGUGGGGAAUAUUGGACAAUGGGCGAAAGCCUGAUCCAGCCAUGCCGCGUGUGUGAAGAAGGUCUUCGGAUUGUAAAGCUCUUUAAGUUGGGAGGCGUUACCAACAGAAUAAGCACCGGCUAACUGCGUGCCAGCAGCCGCGGUAAUAC
rnacentral:rRNA from 1 species